GCAUAUCAAUAAGCGGAGGAAAAGAAACCAACAGGGAUUACCUCAGUAACGGCGAGUGAAGCGGUAACAGCUCAAAUUUGAAAGCUAGCUCUUUUAGGGUUCGCAUUGUAAUUUGUAGAAGAUGCUUCGGGUGUGGCCCCGGUCUAAGUUCCUUGGAACAGGACGUCAUAGAGGGUGAGAAUCCCGUAUGUGACUGGGUGCUUUCGCUCAUGUGAAGCUCUUUCGACGAGUCGAGUUGUUUGGGAAUGCAGCUCAAAAUGGGUGGUAAAUUUCAUCUAAAGCUAAAUAUUGGCCAGAGACCGAUAGCGCACAAGUAGAGUGAUCGAAAGAUGAAAAGCACUUUGGAAAGAGAGUUAAACAGUACGUGAAAUUGUUGAAAGGGAAGCGCUUGCAACCAGACUUGCGCGCUGAUGAUCAUCCGGGCUUCUGCCCGGUGCACUCGUCUGCGCUCAGGCCAGCAUCGGUUUCGGUGGUGGGAUAAAGGCCUUGGGAAUGUAGCUCCUCUCGGGGAGUGUUAUAGCCCUCGGUGCAAUGCCGCCUACCGGGACCGAGGACCGCGCUUCGGCUAGGAUGCUGGCGUAAUGGUUGUAAGCGACCCGUCUUGAAACACGGACCAAGGAGUCUAACAUCUAUGCGAGUGUUUGGGUGUCAAACCCAUACGCGUAAUGAAAGUGAACGGAGGUGAGAACCCUUAAGGGUGCAUCAUCGACCGAUCCUGAUGUCUUCGGAUGGAUUUGAGUAAGAGCAUAGCUGUUGGGACCCGAAAGAUGGUGAACUAUGCGUGAAUAGGGUGAAGCCAGAGGAAACUCUGGUGGAGGCUCGCAGCGGUUCUGACGUGCAAAUCGAUCGUCAAAUUUGCGUAUAGGGCGAAAGACUAAUCG
rnacentral:rRNA from 1 species